rnacentral:rRNA from 1 species
GCGUUAGGCGGAAUCACUGGGCUUAAAGCGUGUGUAGGCGGGCGGGCAAGUACCUUGUGAAAUCCCACGGCUCAACCGUGGAACUGCUGGGUAUACUGCUUGUCUUGAGCCAGCUAGGGGCGACCGGAACAGACGGUGGAGCGGUGAAAUGCGUAGAUAUCGUCUGGAACGCCAAAGGUGAAAACAGGUCGCUGGGGCUGUGCUGACGCUGAGACACGAAAGCCAG